rnacentral:rRNA from 1 species
GACUUGGUAACGCAGCUAACGCGUGAAGUAGACCGCCUGGGGAGUACGGUCGCAAGAUUAAAACUCAAAGGAAUUGACGGGGACCCGCACAAGCGGUGGAUGAUGUGGAUUAAUUCGAUGCAACGCGAAAAACCUUACCUACCCUUGACAUGGAUGGAAUCCCGAAGAGAUUUGGGAGUGCUCGAAAGAGAACCAUCACACAGGUGCUGCAUGGCUGUCGUCAGCUCGUGUCGUGAGAUGUUGGGUUAAGUCCCGCAACGAGCGCAACCCUUGUCAUUAGUUGCUACGAAAGGGCACUCUAAUGAGACUGCCGGUGACAAACCGGAGGAAGGUGGGGAUGACGUCAAGUCCUCAUGGCCCUUAUGGGUAGGGCUUCACACGUCAUACAAUGGUACAUACAGAGGGGGGGAACAACCCGCGAGGGGGAGCUAAUCCCAGAAAGUGUAUCGUAGUUCCUUGGAGUCGAGAACUCGACUUCCAUGAUUCCCUCGCAUGAGAGU